rnacentral:tRNA from 1 species
AAGAUACUAGUAAAAAAAUUACAUAACUUUGUCAAAGUUAAAUUAUAGGUUUAAAUCCUUUGUGUCUUUAU